rnacentral:rRNA from 1 species
GUGAGGAAUAUUGGUCAAUGGGCGGGAGCCUGAACCAGCCAAGUCGCGUGAAGGAAGAAGGAUCUAUGGUUCGUAAACUUCUUUUGCAGGGGAAUAAAGUGCAGGACGUGUCAUGUUUUGUAUGUACCCUGAGAAUAAGGAUCGGCUAACUCCGUGCCAGCAGCCGCGGUAAUACGGAGGAUCCGAGCGUUAUCCGGAUUUAUUGGGUUUAAAGGGUGCGUAGGUGGUGUGAUAAGUCAGCGGUGAAAGUUUGCAGCUUAACUGUAAAAAUGCCGUUGAAACUGUCGGACUUGAGUGUAAAUGAGGUAGGCGGAAUGCGUGGUGUAGCGGUGAAAUGCAUAGAUAUCACGCAGAACUCCGAUUGCGAAGGCAGCUUACUAAGCUACAACUGACACUGAAGCACGAAAGCGUGGGGAUCAAACAGGAUUAGAAACCCUGGUAGUCC